CCGGUGGUUUCUUUUUCCUUUUCCUGAGGAUGGAGGGUUAUUUUUUUCUGCUGGUGCGCCCAGGGCGUGGGGAACAGUGUGUGCUCAGGGCGAACCCCUUGCAUUUCCCCGAGGUGCUUUGCUCAGUUGCUCGCGAACUUUUAAUUUUUUCCAGGCUUGUGUGUUUUGUCCAGAUCCGCUUCUCUGGAGCUGGGCUGGCCUCUUUGUUUUGGGGAAGCUUAUUGCUGCACAGUAAGACCAUCUGACAGUUGUUAUCUGCGACCUGAGAGCCAGAGCUGCCAGCGACGAGAGCCAGAGGCAGCGAUGAGCUGCUCUCCUCGCAGACCUCCCGGCUCCCGGCCCCCAGCGCCAUCUGGGACCACCCGAGGACGAGACCAGCGUGAACCAAAUGUUCACUUGUUCACGGGAGGAUGGAAAAUCUCUCCGCCCACCAAGGCCGCCCGGUCUGUCCCGAGUCCCUGACAAUGAUGAGGACAUGCAGGCCCAGAUGGAAAGUGUCAAAGGUGAGGUUGUUUAAGACCAGCCUACUUUCUACCAUCCAGUGCUGCCAGAAGAAGAUCAGAAGUGCCUGGAAAGUAGCCAAACCCCACUUGUCAAAUGUCUUGAACAAUUUCCUCAAAGCUCUUACUUCAGGUCAACUUGACCCAAACGACAGGAACUGUGUAUUGCCCUCCUAUCAAGGAUGAGAGGAAGUUCCCACGUUGCCCUUGACCAGCAGACAUCACCACGACACUGAUUUCAGCUUCUCUACUCGUACGUGGACGAAGUUGCAGGGAAGCAGUGGUCCAGGACUGGGGCCUUGGGAUGGCAGGUGUGAGUUUGCAGUGUUUUACCUUCCUAUCUGUUGGUGAGGAAAAGCAGUUGAUCUUAAUGGGCUUUGGGACACAGGGAUCCUGUUGAAGCUGCCCUGUUCUUAUACCUUCCUACAAGCCAGCACACCAAAGGUCAGAAGAAAUGGGAAGCAGCCAACAGGGGCAUUGGGUUGACCAGCUGUUGCCAUUCUUUGUUCACAAAGCUGCUAGUGAUCGGGUUUGUUAUGUAUUUAAUAAAAAGGAAGGCAGGAAUAUGAAAUAAUGCAGAAUAAAUCAGUCAUUCAUAAAUAGG